rnacentral:rRNA from 1 species
CGAGUUGUAAUUUGGAGAGGCACCUUCGGGAGGAGCGCUGGCCCAUGUUCCUUGGAACAGGACGUCGCAGAGGGUGAGAAUCCCGUGCCAGGCCAGCCGCGCCCUUCCUUGUGAAGCGCCUUCGACGAGUCGAGUUGUUUGGGAAUGCAGCUCCAAGUGGGUGGUAAAUUUCAUCUAAAGCUAAAUACCGGCGAGAGACCGAUAGCGCACAAGUAGAGUGAUCGAAAGAUGAAAAGCACUUUGAAAAUAGAGUCAAAAAGUACGUGAAAUUGUUGAAAGGGAAGCGCUUGAGACCAGACUCGGAGCGAGGCAAACAUCUGGCCCCGCGGGGCCGUGCACUUGCCUCGAUCCGGGCCAGCAUCAGUUGGCGUGGCGGGAGAAAGGCGCGGGGAAUGUGGCUCCCCCCGGGGAGUGUUAUUAGCCCCGCGCUCAAUGCCGCCCUCGCCGACUGAGGACCGCGCUUCGGCUAGGAUGCUGGCUUAAUGGCCUUCAGCGACCCGUCUUGAAACACGGA